rnacentral:lncRNA from 1 species
GCAGGGAUCUCAGAUCUGUGUUCCCCGCUUGGUUCCAAGGUAUGAAUCCAUGUUCUUGGUUAGGGUUAUUUUUUCCUGUUUAUUUCUAUCAUUUUCUUAAGGUAUGAAUCCAUGUUGCUUAGGGUUCUAACGUAUGAAUCCAUGUUGUUGGUGCUAGGUUGCAGAUCUGCUGUCGGUUGUUUGUUCGUCUGCAUCAUUGUUUGGGUGCUUGCCGUCCUCGUUCGGUAUAAGCAAUCCUCCCCUCCCUGUCCAUCAUUUCUGAUGAAUGCGGGUGCUAUCGAUGCUGAUUGCGUGCGCUACAGAUCUGAUAAUGCUAUUUUUUCUGAGCUUAUGUCCAAGUCAAUGAUGUUUUCUCUUUUAAUCUGAGCAUAUGUCCAUGCCAAUGCUGAU